GCCCAUGUUGGAAAUGGAUCCUUCACCUUGUAAUAACCCCAAGGUGUCUACUUGUUUGGGAGAUCCUCUGUUCCUUCCCCAUGGAUCAUUUACACUUCCCACUUGGCGGAGCAUGUUUUGGGCUCGGAGAUGUUGUCCUCAGAUGGCCACAGCCCCUGUUCCUCUGCAAAUGGGAGUCAGACCUCUGCACCCAAAAGACAGCCUGUUGGGGAGAGGAGCUUGGGAACAGGUGGGGGUGCCAUGGCCACCCCACAAGUCCCUGCUGACCCCAAGCAUUUUUCUCUGAGCCAUGAGGGGCAGUGCUGGGGGCAGUCCACCAGGGCCAUCUCCCCCAGACCCCUCCUGACCACASACCUCUGCUGCCCAGCACCGGCAGGCCCACAGCUGCUCUGCCCCAGCUGCCCCGUGCCCCUGGGGCUCCUCAGCCCUGCGGAGCGAGGCACCAGGGCCCAGCUCAGCCCCGCAGAGAGCAGCCCCUGCCUGGCUGCAGUCCAGCCCUGCCAGGUGCAGUGCAAGGGCUGCCAAGCUCCGAGACUGCCGCGGGCGGGGAGUUGGGGCCCCAGGGGUGACAGGGCCCUGCCCUGCCCUGGGGGCAGCAGGAUGCUGCCUGCGGGCUCCGGCACCCCGGCCAUGCCCAGGGCCCUGCACCACCACCAGGGCCAGCACCAGCACAAGCCCCGGGGCUGCCCCCCCAUGCCCGGCAUGGCCCCCAGGCACAGGGCAGCCAGAAGCCCCACAGGGCCACUGUGGCAGAACCCAGCCCUGGCAGGGCAGCCACCGGACCCUGGUGCCCCCCACUGCCCGGCCACACGGGGCCGCGCUGCCCCGAGGCCCCGCAAUGCCCCGCGCUGCUGCCCACAACAUGGCGCCACAUCGUGGGGGAGGGGAGAGGGCUUCCCUUGGGGUCACACAGGGCCGCARUGUUGCCUUGGCAUUGCCCCCAGUGCUGCCCUCCUAUUGGCCAGCAAGGGGAGGAGGGUAGGGCAGGUUUUGACUGAUGGC
rnacentral:lncRNA from 1 species